rnacentral:lncRNA from 1 species
GAGGAAGCUAUUGGCUCGCUGGAGAAACGGCAUAAAUCGACUUCACGCCGUAGCAGGAGGAAGCACAAAAGUCAUAGUGAAGAUGAGGAGGACUCAGGUAGUAAAGAAACUAAAGGGAAUGAUAACUGGGAUGCCUUCCAAAACCUUCUUUUAAAAGACAAAGAUUCAGACCAGGAAACAGCUUCGUGUCCGUUGAACAUGGAGUCAGAAGUUGUGAGCAAGAGAGAGCUGCCUUCGGAUGAUUCUUUCUUGGUUGCAAAUGGGAAUGAGGAUUGGGGGAGGGAGAGCAGUAUUAAGAAACUUGAUGCCGGUGAGAAUGUUAGGCUGAUGAGAAGAGAGAACAACUAUGACGAUGAUAUGAUGAUGAAUCCUGGUAGAGGAGAUGAAUCAAGAAGCUACUCACAGGCAGAGAUGUCUGUUUAUAGUGGGAAGCUCCGAGCUAGAAAUGAGACGGAGGAAGACUGGUUCAUACGUAACCAAGCAGACACUGAAAGAGAUGUCAAAACCUUUGUAGGAGACGAUUUGCAUGUAACAAAGAGAAGUGGGAGAGAUGUCCUGACUGAUGACUCGUUCAUGAUCCAUUCUCGUGUUGAGAGCCAAGUGGAAGAGUCUCGGUUAAGGACAGAGAUCAUGGACUCUGACGUUUAUGGAACCACCAAACAAGAAAACUCCUCUGCACCGGAGGAGAUUAACAACAGACAAGAGCCGGAUGAUCUUUUCAUGGUUCUUGGACGUGAACAAGAUGUUACACCUGCGAUGGUGUCGUGGACCCCUGAGAUUGACUUCGAGGCUAACGCUUUGGCUGAAGAGAAACGCAAAAACGAUUUGGAAACUGCUGCAAAGGCCUCUGAACAGACUUCAGAUGUUAAAGAAAAGAAACUUCGUGUCGUUAGAAAGGAUGCAAAGACAAGAGCAGCAAGUAGACCUGACCCUGCUUUGAAAGCUAAGAGAGCUCCCUGGGGAAGUAGAGCAGCUGCCACCAAAACCAAAUCCGAGCUGGUAAAUUUCGCUUAACUAACAGCGUUUCAUUUUUCUUGAUUAGUUUCACUCUGGUUCUAUAAAUUGGUACGAAACAAUUUUCUUAAAAUUUAAUUAAUACUAAUCAAAUCGGUUUAAACCAUUUUAAUCGGUUUAAACCAUUUUAAAUCAUUCUAAAUUGGUUUAAACUAUUUUAAAUUGGUUUUAGUAGAACUAAAUUAGUCUAAAUAUGUUAAAUUAAACAAUAAUGUUAGUAUAAAUCCACAAUUUUGUCUUUUUUGUUUUGUUUUGUAUAUAUACUUAUGAUAAUUCAUCAAAAUAAUUUUAUAAUAAAACCAAAAACUAAAAUAUCGUAUAUAAAUGUGAAAUAUAUAUAAAAUAAAUUAAUAAUUCAUCAACGCCUAGAGUUCUGAAUUAAUAAAAUGCUUCUAGUUACAGCCUAACGAUUAACAUUGGUUUCACUUUUUCUCACUUGGAUUUGGUAUUUUGAUAGGAGGAAGAGAGGAAGAAGAGAAUGGAAGAACUUUUAAUUCAGAGGCAAAAGAGAAUCGCUGCGAAGAGUUCUGGCAGUAAUGUAUCAAGUCCCUUGGCCUCCAAGAAAACUCCUACUGGAACCAAAACCGUGAAGACCUCGAAUGACAAGACACCAGCAGAAGCCGUGAAGGCUAAGCCGUUACUGAGAAGUUCCACCAUUGAGCGCCUUGCUGUUGCCAGGACAGCACCAAAGGAGCCACAACAAAAACCAGUAACCAAAAGAACAUCAAAACCUCUAGGAAACAAGACAGAGAAACCUCAAGACAAGAAACCUAGUAGAAAAAGUCCGGGACUUUCUCGUGACCCGAGUCUCGAAAUCAAGGAAACAGUGGAGGAAGAAUCACAGUCUUACUUGCCGGUGAAGCAAGUUGAUGAACUUCCUCCUGCUGCUUCUUCUGUUGAUGACUUCAAAGACAUUAAAGAGAUGCAUAGCUUGCCGAAUGAAACAAUCACCAAUCAUCAGAAAGUAGAAGAUCAGAGGAAGAUUGAUGAUGAGGAGAUAGUGAAGAAGACAUCCGUCUGCGAAGACAAGCAAGUCACUAACAACCUUUGUUCGGAGGAUGUUGAAGAAGUUAAGGCUUCACCGCCAAAACCACUGUCUCCAAAGAAGUCGGUGACGUUUUCAGAGACAAACAUGGAGGAGAAGUAUUUCUUCUCACCAACGGUGUCGGAGACUGACGUCUCGACGCCGCCGGCUACUGAAGGCUCUGAGUUCUUGAUUAAUGUUUCAGUUGGUUAUUGACUCUGUUUGUAUUUGUAUAGGCACAAGGUGAAUCUGAUGGCCAAGAAAAUUCUAAGUAAGUUUUAGCAUAGCCUUCCUUUGUUGUUAUUGUCUUGAUCGGUUUUGUGAAGUAGAUGACAAGCGGUGAAAUGAAUGUAACAGGGUUGGUCUUCAGCGUGUUCUUGAAACCCGCAAAGCGGCUUUGUGCAAAGAGCAAGCCAUGGCUUACGCUAGAGCUUUGGUUGUUGGGUUUGAAUUGGACUACAUGGACGAUCUCUUGUCCUUCGCAGAUGCUUUUGGAGCUUCGCGUUUAAGGUUAGUAACUGAAACCAUCCAUGUCCUUGUGUGCAUUUGUAUGAAGAUGGUGAAUAAAUCACUUUUGUGUUGCGUUCAGGGAAGCAUGUGUUAACUUUGUGGACUUGUGCAAGAGAAAGAACGAAGAUAGGAUGUGGGUGGACCAAAUCACGGCAAUGCAAGCCUUUCCCAGGCCUGAGCUAUCCUUCAUGGGUGACUCUGGGAUCAUACUCGCUGGGGAAGAGAAUGAUAUCGUCAAACAAGGGAACAACAUGGAUGCAAUGAGCCAGGGUAGCUUUGAGACUAGCCAAGGUCCUCCUCAGAUGUCAAUCCCCUGGCCAAACCAUUAUCCUCCUCAGUACAUGCAAGGACAUGGCUAUCCUCCUUAUAUGUAUCCCGGCCAGCCACAGUACUUCCCUCAGUGGCCUGUCAACAUGGGAGGAGAUGUGGAGUCAAGUGAGAAGACUUCCAAGAAGAAAAAGAAGAAGAAGAAAAACAAGAAGAAGAAGUAUGAAUCUUCCGAGGAGCAAAGCGAUGAGUCCAGCGCCGAGACUGUAUCAGAGGAGGGGAAUGAAGGGAAGAAAUCAUCUAGAAAAGUUGUUAUACGCAACAUAAACUACAUAACUUCAAAGAGAAACGGAGCCAAGGAUAGCGAUUCUGAUGAGUCUGUAGACGAAGAAGAAGAAGGCUUUGUGGAUGGAGACUCCAUCAAGCAGCAAGUGGAGGAAGCUAUUGGCUCGCUGGAGAAACGGCAUAAAUCGACUUCACGCCGUAGCAGGAGGAAGCACAAAAGUCAUAGUGAAGAUGAGGAGGACUCAGGUAGUAAAGAAACUAAAGGGAAUGAUAACUGGGAUGCCUUCCAAAACCUUCUUUUAAAAGACAAAGAUUCAGACCAGGAAACAGCUUCGUGUCCGUUGAACAUGGAGUCAGAAGUUGUGAGCAAGAGAGAGCUGCCUUCGGAUGAUUCUUUCUUGGUUGCAAAUGGGAAUGAGGAUUGGGGGAGGGAGAGCAG